CAUAACAGAUUUCUCUAUCUUUCACUCAAUUUCGUAUUCAAAUUCAAAAUUGUUAGUGAUUCGGUCAGUUCCGAGGUAUGAAUUCCUACUAUGAAAUGCGCAAGGUAUGAUGUUUUUCUUAAUUAAUUCUUAGGUUUCUUAAUUUCAUUUCAUAUAAGAUUGGUCUUGAUUUCAGUGAAGUAUUCAUGAUUCGGUCUGAAUUUGGAAUUCUGAUAGCCAGCGUAAUCAUGACUUGAACUGGAAAAUUUGUUCAUACCAAUGAAUUUUGUUUUAUUGUGUUCUAAUUUAUCAUGAAAAUUCGUCUCAUUGUUGAAGAUUCUAGAGUUGAUGUGGCGUUGUUGCACUAUUUGUUUUGUUCCUUGUGUAUUCUUUUUCUUCUUAUGUCUGAUCAUGCUUGUAAGUUGAUGUUUGAAUUUUAAUUAGCUGAUUAAACAUUUUCUGUUCCUUAAUUACAACUUAGAAGUUGCUGAUUGAAGUAAUUUCGAUCCUAACAUGGAUUUUGGACAACUUCAUUGUUUUGGUCACAGGGCUAACUUCAUUGAUCCUUAUAGUAAUGUUGCUGUUUUGGCCGCUGGUUGAUGUUUUGAUCAUAUGCUUUUAAUUGAUGCUUGAAAUUUCUAUUUCCGCAGCUAGGUUUAUAUGCAUGAACCAGAAUGGGUUGCUGGUUCUCAAUCUUGAAUCAUCAAUCCAUAUGGUUUGGUUUUCGUUUGUGUAGGAGCUAGUAAAGAUGAAGAUAUAUGCAAGGAGGUCCAUUUACAUAAAGGAGAUGUCUGUGAGGAGUCCUAAAGCUUGUGAUUUGGACUUGAAGAAAAGAGAGCAGGCAGUAACACGCCAGCCAGUACCAUGUCAAGAAGGGUAGUUCUCCGUCCUAGACCUCGCUGCGUUGUCAGGACACCGUACACUCUAGAUAGCCUUGAAAGACUGCUGCACUUUGAGGGGUGUAGGUAGCUAUUGGUCUUGCUUUUGGAGUGGAAUAUGUAUUCUGGUUGGGGUUUAUUUCAGUGACACGGUCAUAGCGAUUUUGCUGGCUCUUGAGCUACCUUGCUUGCUUCACUCUGGGACUGCUUUGACAACCAACAGAGCUUGCAUCACUUCCGGCCAUGAUGACAGAAGAUUGUUGGGGUACACAGGCUUGAUGAAAUGGAGAAAACCAGCAAUAAGUACAUUGAAGCUUCCUUUCACAAUGACUUGAGUACGCAAAGAUAUUAAAGUACUCUCCACAAUCAUCUCUAAUAUACCAAAACUUGCAUCACCUAUAACCAAGGAAACAUGCAUUUUUGUACCUGAUGUCAAUGUUGCUGCAUAACCUGAACAUAAGAAAUCUUCUUGAACAUAGCUAGACAAAAAAUACCACUGUUGUCAUCAUUUCUUAUUAAAGAGAACCCUGCAAAUACCAAGCCAUUAAUAACAGCUUACCACACACGACCAACCAGGAAACCAACAUAUGCUGUACACUCCAACAUCAGGCAUUGAAGUUUGCUGGGCCUUCUAGUUUACAUCCAGCAAGUUUGCAUCAUACACCAAUAGUAGUAAUGGUUGAUGCAGGUGUAAGAGUCGGCAAAAGAGAGACAGGGUCUGGCAAACGAAAUCCAGUCAGCUGUAGGGAACUACAAGUAAAGCAGCAUACCAACACAUACUCUCAUAACCUGACAACUGAAGUAGUAGAGACCUUGUGAAUUUAAAAGGAUGUGUUGAUGCAGAUUCAUAAAGAAGCAACAGUGAACAACAAAACAAAUAGUAGAAUUAGGACCAAAGCGACUGCAAGCAGCCAACACCAACAGCAAACAACAACAUGAAGACUUCUGUCUCGUUUAGAAGUACACCUGACUUGGCUCCGUAGGAUACAAUUGGAUGCAACUCACAGGUCUACGCAACUGUAAUUCUCUUGAAACAACAUUAUUCACAAGCAAAGAAAUCUUGAAACCAACAAACAUGGAAAACAGCAGAAAAGACAUGAUAACAUGAUAAUGGAAAACGUGCCACAUUCUCAAUUGAAAGCCAGGGACGGACUCGGGAUUUUACCUAGGAUAGGGCUAAUUUUCUAUAUCCAGGAUGAAAGCGGCCGAAGGCCGACGAAAAUUUUUAAACAAUAAAAAUAAAGAAUAUGUUGCUUAGACUUCUCUGUAUAUUAACUAUGUACUGUCGUAUGAGAUAAAGAUAUUCGAGUGGU